CUCUGAUCCAGCCUCCUCUCCUCCAUCCAGCUGCUGCAUCCUGGUCACUUCCUACAAUCCAGCCUCUAUCUAGCAGCCAUUCAGCUAUCCAGAUAUGCCUCUGUCUCCAUUUCUCUUCCUAUAUAAGGCUCCUAUUUUCUUUUUCUUCUUUUUUUGUUUUCCAUGUUCUUGUCCGAUUCUCUUCUCUCUUGAACUCCAAUUAAAAUAUAGGCUGUUGUGCUGGGAUUUUAUUUUUUUCUGAUUUGCGUUUGUUUAAUUUUUCAUGUUUUCUUUUUGAUUUUUUUUCUGAUAUCUUUAAAUAUAAUUGUCAGACUUGUGUGUUAUAAAUUUUUUUAUAUAUCCCUUACUCGGCACACAUCUAGGCUCCAGCAGCUCUUUGUGCCUUGGUGCCGCUUGGAUUGCUAUGUCCUGGAGCAUCCCAGAAGCUUCACCAGAUUCCGGUGCUGAAGUUUGGCAAUAUGUAUGACUUCAUUCUUGAACUCAUUGAGUCCCUGGUUAGAAUCUUUUGAGAGCCUCUUCACAGCUAUUUCUUGCCCAUCUUUCAACAUUCCCUGUAAGUAAUCACACCAUAACAUAAGUAAAGUCAUAAUUUCAUUUUUCAAAAUUCAGAGUUUUUUGGUUUAUUACUGAAUACUACUCAGCCUUUAUCUGUUUAGCAUCCAAAGUUGGUGGAACACUUCCUAAACCAUCAGUAAUUUAUCCAUGAUGAGGCUAAAUCUGGGUGGUUGACUAUUAUUGACAAAACUAAAUGGAGAAAUAGAGUAAAUGCCUCGAAUUUCACAAUGCAACCGUAAAAAAUGUUGGUUUUUACCCUGAAAACAGGUCCAAAUCCUCCUUCUCCGAGUUUAUUGUUAAUCGAGAAGUCAUUGGUUGCAGAAGCAAUGGUGGCAAAAUCAAACAAUGGUAAUUCUAGGUCCUCCGUGUCAGUAUUGUCAUUUGCAUUUCUUUCCACCAUGCCUGUUUUUAUUCCUGCAGAUUGGAGCCGAAACGGAUAAGAAAUUGAAAAGACACAAAAUAUCUCUACUUCUCUUAUUUUCCUUGUGAUUUCCAGUGUAAAGUGAUGUUUAUUCAUACAUGAUUCUCUGAAAUCAUUAUGCCUGAACUUUUCAUUAUUUGGGACUCAAGAGUUUCAAGGAGUGAACAACAUACUAUGUUUCUGCUGCUUCUUCUUUUUCCAAACACGCAAAAGGAUAAUUAGGCCCAGGAUCAGCACUGCUGCAGCCAUCCUUAUAUAAAUAUCUUGGCCAUUGUCACCAAAAUCUCUCAUAUCAAUCAGACCACUGAACCACAGCAAGCAACCACGUCCUCCUCCUCUAAUGUCCAAAUUUGCGUAAGCUGUGCAGGAGCAAUUCUUCAUGCACGUGAUUCUGCACUCCGCAAGACUCAUACUCUUGUCAAACCAGGAAUUUCGUGUUUCUGGUAACUUCCCUGGAGUGUACUUUCGAAAUCCAUCUGCAGAGCAAUUUAAUGCAGUCUUUCUAACACAACCACUUGACCAAUCCGCUGUGCCCCAUUCUUUUGGAACUUUUGGUUCAAAUCCUGUCAAGCAACUGCAUUUGGGUGAAUUACUAAGAUUGCAGCUACCAUAUGCACCACACAGAGCAUAUCGAUCACAAUCAUCAUUUUCUAAUUGAAGGUAAAUCCCCCAGUUUUUUGUUCGCUCAUUCCAAGUAAACUGUUGCAGAAUGCCAUUCUGA